UGUGACAGCAUAAAGCUGUAUCCCACCAGACCCUCUUGCUCUGAUUUUCCUCAGAACCAAACCUCCAAACAGGAUUCAAGUGCAAGUAGUUUAUUUGGAGCCCUUACUCCGAGCUUGAAGGUGUUCUGUGGCCAGAAAAAAGGGUAAAGAAUCUCAGUUGCUGGCAAUUGGAAGUCUCGCACCAGUAGAUGCAGAUUCUCAGAGAGCCCUUAUCAGCCACGUAAUGAAGACAGAGGUGCCUCUGUUAGAGAGCUCCUCACCUCCAGCCCCUGCCCUCUGGCAAUUGGAUGUGGUGUAAGCAAGAAAUAAAUGUGAGUUGUG